rnacentral:rRNA from 1 species
GACUACUCUCCACUGAUCCUGAACAUACCCAGUCUCUUCUAAUUUCUGGACCUUAGCAGGGCCAGGUCGGGUUUGUAUUUAGAUGGGAGACUUGCUGGAAAUACCAGGUGUUGUACUGG